CUUCGUCAUUGUCGACUGUCUGGGAUAUGCGUGUAACGGAAAUGCAUUGCAGAAUACAUGCGUAUUAAGUAUGUACACAUAUUGGGAUAUAUAUAACGCAUGUAUUACGGCUAAUUUACGUAUUACGUGUCUGCGCCCCGAGCCAGGACGAUUACCUCGGACUCGACUGGCUGACUGAACUCCUUGCUUGAUCUUCCUACCGUUAUUGAUUAUCCUAUUAUGCUGCUUUUGCUUAUACAGAGUGGAAGCUUUGACAACCGCAUGUCCGUUCCGUCUCCCUUGGCGGGAGAUUCGAAUCGAGGAUUAUUGCAGAGUCAUAAAGUAAAUAGAGAAUUAAUACAAGGAUCAACUCUACAGCUGGUAUAAAUGACUCUGAAUGAUCAUCGAUACAAUGGAUGAAAGAGAAACUCAUUCAUUAGUACAAACGUAUAUUCUUCGUAUCAGGAAGUUUACGUCCAUCUUAUUCUUCUCCUCGGCAUAAUACGUAAUGUUAUACAAUAACAAGAACAACGUAUAACACACUGAGUGAUCUAUUGCCAUUUAUGGCGCCAUGACUAAUUCGAGUUUGGCAAUUGAUCCACCAUUGUUGUAUCUCACUGCCACCUACAUUCGGCACAGAAUCACAAUUUCACAAGGCUCUCAUCCGGUAUGCAAUUCAUGGAGUUGUCAUAUGGUUUCAACAAUUCUAUGAGGCACGAUAUCGACGAACUGGAAAAAUUAUCUUAAGGAAUUGCCAUAUCACCCCCACUUCUGACAUCACCUCCGUCUCCACCCCCAUUCACCUUCUUAAGGUCUACCAAGGGGUUAUUACGGAUCGGCGAGAAAUACGAUCCAAGUAAAGGGAAUUACAAAGCAUUUUUCUCGUGAGAGCGCUCGAGUAGGUACCUACCUACCGAAGCAUCCUUGCCAGGAUCGACGCGAUAGCAAUCUCUUCUCCACGGAAGGAAGAGGAUACAUGGCUCUUUCGAUAGCGAUCCAUCGUUAAACAGUUUCCUGGAAGAAUAUGAACCACCCACCGAAGAAUUUCAUGUUGCGAUAAGUCUUUGUGAUUUUGUUUUUCUACAAUCAUUUCCUUCCUGGGUGAAACAUACCUUUGCGAGUACAUAAAAAAGAAAAGUCAGGGUCAAAGUUCAAGGGACGUAAUAUGAAGGUAGAUAAUGGUAUGGCUAAAGGUCCCUGAGGUCACCCGCCUAUCGAUUAGGGGAUGAACAAAUGUGUAUAAUAAUAAUAAUAAUGAUAAGGUCUAACCAAAGAGGAGCACGAACUGGUCCAUUCGAUGGGAGUUGCACAACUCGGUCAUUACACUCUGUUAUACGGAGUCUGGGCAAUUCUGUCUUCUGACUGUGUAUACUGUGUGCACCUAGUUUAUAAUCUAUAGUACAUGCAGUGAUAUACCAAACUGUACUGUUACUGUCUGUUCGUAGCUAAGAAGGUAUAGAUUGACGAAGUCAGUGGAGAGAUAGAAGUUAGAAGGCCGCUUAACAAGCUUGUUAUUCUUGUGAUUACGUUAACUCGGUGUGAUUAUGAGUUCCUCAUGAUGCUAAUGAAUACUUGAUACGGAAAAUCAAGUGUCUUUUAAUUUGACAGAUUGAAAUUAUUAUUCUCUGCUGACAGGACUCGUCAAGGAUGUGUCUAUCAUGGCGUAAAAACAGAACGUACAAUAAAACGCCUUGUUACACACCGGAAGACACAUUAUUACGUACAAUAUGGUUUUUAAUCUACAGUAUGAAGGGAUAUCAAGUCUCCGUAAGAGACAGGUCGAAUGGAAUUUAUCCUUGGAAAAUCCAACAGGCAGCUAAAUCCUGUGCCAAGUUAGGGAACGAUCGAGACUGGGGGUGACAAGUCUGGUACAGGACCUACCGCAAGGAAGGGUGGAUAACUGCGUAUUGAUUUUACAGGAUACGAAGGGUUCCUGCAGGAGGUAGAAAUACACCCUAUAUAUAACGCUCCAUUCGUAUCCAGUUCCUGGCGCGAAUGGAAACAAUUGAAUUUAGGGAUGACUGUAUCUCGUUCUACAAUGGUGCGUUGUCUUUAAGGACAGUCUUUUCCAUAUUUUCGAGUUGAACCAUUUUUUACAUAAAUUUUAUAUUAUUUAACUGGUAAAAAAAUGGUUGCGCAAUUCCUUGUACAAUUGCAAAAAGCGGCCAAUCGGAAGACUGCACUUUAGUCGGAAUGAGAUGGCUCUGUUAAGGGGUCACCCCCCUGGAAAAUCAAAUGUUAAGCGGGCAGGUAUCCGAGGGUGAAAAUUCCGUGAAAUGUAAACUCUAGGGAGUUCUGUAUAUAGAUAUAUAGACGUGCAUACUGUAAAGCACUGUACACUAUAGUGCAUAAUGUGUAUAGUGAUGCAUCUCACCGUUCGGUGCAUCGCGCGUUGACGCUGUCGGGCGUGUGAGUGACUCCUUGAAGUGGAGCCACUUCACGUCAAAGGGCUCUAUAAUAAUCUGACUCUCGCCCUCCCCACUUCAGCCCUAAGCAUUCCGGCUCACAAAGACAAAUCAAUUUCUCAAGAGUGAGGAGGAAGGUGCAAGCGACAGAAACCGAUAGAGUAAAAGGAAGGGAGAGAGCGAGAUGAAUCUAAGAGGAUUGAUAGAGAGAGAAAGAGAGAGACAGGAUUCAAGAUGGAGAAGAUCCUGACACCAAACAGCCUGUUCUGGCAGGUUAUUUUAUUUCAAGGACCGAGACCUUCUAUAAGGAUUUUAUAGGGUUCAAUCUUUUUCAUAUAGCUAUCUUUUACUUUCCAAGGGUAUCAUCACGCAUGUUCGAUUUAGAUAAAAAUGGCUAAAAUUCGAAUUUUUAAAAUUUUCCCUGUCAAUUGAAGUCGUCAUUAUUUUUGUGUACCAUAAAGUGAUUUUGACUUGAUUUUUUGGAAAAUUAUUAAUUAAUCUACAAUAUUGUCAUAGUAGAGACGAUCGAGCUCGGAUAAUUUUAAUAUAAACAGAGAGUUUAAUGGCAGAUUUUUAAUGGGGCUUGUUUUAUAUAUAUUUUUUACUGUCACUCGUAUAAGGAUUCGCUACUGAAGUUGCACGUGCACUGAAAACGUGCGGCUGCCUACGUGGAAUACAUUUAGGAGGUUGUGCCUAAUAAAUUAUCCAGUCAUCCAUCUCGUAGAUAUUCUCGGCUGGUUCGCAUUCAUCCCUUAACAUUACUGGGGAGUAGGUGCCUACACCCGACGUACGAAAAGUCUCCCACUGCUCAAUGUGGAUUCUAGGAUGAAUACACGGAUAUGACGUCACCGUAUGUUGGACACAUGUGCCACCCUUGGCCACCCACGCGUGCACCUAUUGUAGACCCUUCCAAUACGGAUUAAUAGAAAUCAAUCAGCCCUUGGGACAGCUGACCCUGAAUUGGGGUAGACGGAUUAAGGAUUCCAGAGGGUGGCUGGGGUACGGUGGGGAG